UGAUAAUGAAAUUCAGCUGAACACAGCCAGGCUUGAUUGCAACCAGCCCUGUUGAAUCUAAACCUCACUCACAGUGAACCUUACCAUCAGAGUGAAGUAGUCACUACAAAGUUUCUACAAGCACUCUAUGGCACGAUUGAAGGAAUUCAAGAAGAGAUGAGAACAAAAGUUGUUGAAAUAUACACUUGGAACAGUGGUGAAUCUUUGCAGUGGCCGGCAUGCCAAAAUUUCUCCAAUGGUGCAGGGACAAAUCAUCCAAGAAGCCACAAAAGAUCCCUGAUGAACAUCCGAGGAACUGCAGGCCUCUCUAGGCUCAGCAAGGACCUGACAGCUGCUCCUGUUACUGCAAAGAGAACACUGGAUCUAAAUGUUCACAUCAUGACCACAAGAGGGUGCACCUCAGCCAUGGUUGGGACCAGUUCUGGCACAACAUGUUUUGGAUACAGUUACCACAGGCAAAUCUCUCCAAGAAGACUGUCUUUCUGGACAGGUCUGCCUGUCUGCGGCUAGAUUUCUCAUGCAAGAAGAUUGAGAUCACUAUGGGGUAUUCUUAAGAACUGUUUUUAUAAACAUGCCAACUAUAUUUUUUCACUCUCAUCCUAGCUAGCACACAAAAAUCCUUGUGAAUAGAAGCACUGCAUUAAAGUUUUUAAUGUUUUUUUUUUCUUUACCUUUCCCAACUCCAACUUUCCAGCUAUGUUGUAAGUAAGUCUAGAUUACACAUACUUUUCCACAGGAAAAAGGAAAAAUCAGCAUUGCAAGGGCACUACCAGCACACAUGAAUUCAAACUUAAUUUACUGUCCAUUUUAAGUGCUGAGUAUUGAAGAAGUACCUCCCAUUUUACAACCGUCAACAACAUGUGAAGGACCAGUCAAGCAGAACAAAAGAAAUAAUAAUAUCUGAGCCUCCAGUUCUGGCCUGAAAUAAUAAAAAUGACUGGCACGUCUUUGUAUUCUUAAUCGUCUUCCUCUAUAUGUAUAUGUAUUACUAUUGACUGAAAAUAAAGGACUCCACUGAACUACAAA